rnacentral:rRNA from 1 species
GGGGAUAACAUUUGGAAACAGGUGCUAAUACCGCAUAACAACGAAAACCACAUGGUUUUCGUUUCAAAGAUCCGUUUCGGCUAUCACUUCAGGAUGGGCCCGCGGUGCAUUAGCUUGUUGGUAGGGUAACGGCCUACCAAGGCAAUGAUGCAUAGCCGAGUUGAGAGACUGAUCGGCCACAAUGGAACUGAGACACGGUCCAUACUCCUACGGGAGGCAGCAGUAGGGAAUCUUCCACAAUGGGCGCAAGCCUGAUGGAGCGACACCGCGUGAGUGAAGAAGGGUUUCGGCUCGUAAAGCUCUGUUGUUGAAGAAGAACGUGCGUGAGAGCAACUGUUCACGCAGUGACGGUAUUCAACCAGAAAGUCACGGCUAACUACGUGCCAGCAGCCGCGGUAAUACGUAGGUGGCAAGCGUUAUCCGGAUUUAUUGGGCGUAAAGCGAGCGCAGGCGGUUGCUUAAGUCUGAUGUGAAAGCCUUCGGCUUAACCGAAGAAGUGCAUCGGAAACUGAGCGACUUGAGUGCAGAAGAGGACAGUGGAACUCCAUGUGUAGCGGUGGAAUGCGUAGAUAUAUGGAAGAACACCAGUGGCGAAGGCGGCUGUCUGGUCUGCAACUGACGCUGAGGCUCGAA